UGCCACAGUUCGUCAUGAUCAUGGUCAUCAUGAUCAUGAUCAUCAUGGUCAUGAUCAUGAUCAUCAUGGUCAUGAGCUUGG
rnacentral:miRNA from 1 species